rnacentral:rRNA from 1 species
ACGUGCCAGCAGCCGCGGUAAAACGUAGGGGGCGAGCGUUGUCCGGAAUUACUGGGCGUAAAGGGCGUGUAGGCGGCCUGCGCAAGUCAGUCGUGAAACCCGCCGGCUUAACCGGCGGCUGGCGAUUGAAACUGUCGGGCUUGAGAGCAGGAGAGGGGAGUGGAAUUCCCAGUGUAGCGGUGAAAUGCGUAGAUAUUGGGAGGAACACCAGUGGCGAAAGCGGCUCCCUGGCCUGCAACUGACGCUGAGGCGCGAAAGCGUGGGUAGCAAACAGGAUUAGAUACCCUGGUAGUCCACGCCGUAAACGAUGGGUGCUAGGUGUUGGGGGUAUCGACCCCCCCAGUGCCGCAGUUAACGCACUAAGCACCCCGCCUGGGGAGUACGGCCGCAAGGCUGAAACUCAAAGGAAUUGACGGGGGCCCGCACAAGCGGUGGAGUAUGUGGUUUAAUUCGACGCAACGCGAAGAACCUUACCAGGUUUUGACAUCCCCUGGCAGUCAUGGAAACAUGAUCUUUUAUCUUCGGAUAGACAGGGAGACAGGUGGUGCAUGGUUGUCGUCAGCUCGUGUCGUGAGAUGUUGGGUUAAGUCCCGCAACGAGCGCAACCCCUACCUUUAGUUGCCAGCACGCAAGGUGGGCACUCUAAAGGGACUGCCGUUGACAAAACGGAGGAAGGUGGGGAUGACGUCAAAUCAUCAUGCCCUUUAUAACCUGGGCUACACACGUACUACAAUGGCCGGUACAGACGGCAGCGCAGCCGCGAGGCGAAGCGAACCCGAUAAAGCCGGUCCCAGUUCGGAUUGCAGGCUGCAACCCGCCUGC